rnacentral:rRNA from 1 species
UACAGAGGUCCCAAGCGUUGUUCGGAUUCACUGGGCGUAAAGGGUGCGUAGGUGGUGAGGUAAGUCGGAUGUGAAAUCUCCGAGCUCAACUCGGAAAUGGCAUUGGAAACUACCUUGCUAGAGGGUUGGAGGGGGGACUGGAAUACUUGGUGUAGCAGUGAAAUGCGUAGAUAUCAAGUGGAACACCAGUGGCGAAGGCGAGUCCCUGGACAACUCCUGACACUGAGGCACGAAAGCUAGGGGAGCAAACAGG